rnacentral:rRNA from 1 species
CCGGCGACCGGCGCACGGGUGAGUAACACGUAUGCGAUCUGCCCCCCGCAGGGGGAUAACCGGGAGAAAUCCCGACUAAUACCGCGUAACGCCGCGGACCUGCAUGGGUCUGCGGCCAAAGGAAGCGAUUCCGGCGGGGGAUGGGCAUGCGGCGCAUUAGCUAGUCGGCGGGGUAACGGCCCACCGAGGCGACGAUGCGUAGGGGUUCUGAGAGGAAGGUCCCCCACACUGGUACUGAGACACGGACCAGACUCCUACGGAAGGCAGCAG